rnacentral:rRNA from 1 species
UACGUAGGGUGCAAGCGUUAAUCGGAAUUACUGGGCGUAAAGCGUGCGCAGGCGGCUUUGCAAGACAGAUGUGAAAUCCCCGGGCUCAACCUGGGAACUGCAUUUGUGACUGCAUCGCUGGAGUGCGGCAGAGGGGGGUGGAAUUCCACGUGUAGCAGUGAAAUGCGUAGAGAUGUGGAGGAACACCGAUGGCGAAGGCAGCCCCCUGGGUCGACACUGACGCUCAUGCACGAAAGCGUGGGGAGCAAACAGG